GACUUCCCCGCGGACGUGCUGACGAACAUCCUGACGCGCUUCCCGCCCAACACCCGGCGCACGCUCCGCCUCGUCUGCCGGCACUGGGCCGACGUCAUCGCAACACGCACGGCCACCAACCUGCGUAUGCGCGCCAAGAUACUCGUCGUCACCCUGGGUUCCGCGUACGUCGUCGACAACCCGUCGGCACCAGGGAAGCCCAGAGAGCUGUGGACUGGCGCCGCCACGGCACGCCGCUACAAGGCCAUGAGCGUGGUCGGCACCUGCAACGGCCUCGUCUGCCUGUGCGACGACCAGGUUCCCGGCGGCGCCAUCACUGUGGCCAACCCCGUCACCGGCGAGGCCCUGAGCGUCCCGCGGCUGCCAACGCCUCAGCCCGCUGAUCCAAGCAUCAGCUGGCACGAGGCCUACAGCUUCGCAUACCUCCCGGCCACGGGGACCUACAAGGUCGUGCACGUCGGGCUACACGCAUUUGAUGCGGUGCACGUGUUCACCCUGGGGAAGCUGAGGUGGCGGGCUGUUCCGGUUGGCCACCCACCGAGAUUCAGACGCGACGGCCUUGGCCACAAAGUCGUCACCGUCGACGGUGCGGCGUACUGGGCCACGUCGGAGGGCGCCUACAAGGUCAUGUCGUUCGACGUCGAGCGCGAACGCGUCACGCCCAUUCCGUCGCUACUGCCGCUGCUGUCCUUCUCCGAAGACAAGGGCAGCUGGCACCUAGCCGAGGUGCGCGGGAGGCUGGCCGUCGUCUUCAACUACAUCUCGUUGGCGACGGAUAUGACGGAGGUCUGGGUCAUGGAGGGCAAACCGACUACGAGGCAGAUCAGGUGGAGCCGCUGGUACGUCGUUCGGAUAAGCAUGUCGUAUCACUGGCUGCGGGAACCGAGGGCGAAGCCGCGGCGUCUCACGUGGCCGCUCUUUGUCCACGGCGAGCACAUCCUGACAUGGGAGUGGUCGCAGUUUGGACGAGCUUUCGUCUUGUACAGGCACACACCGGUCCAAGACACGAGGAUGGCGAAGCAUGGCGUGGCGGAUAUCAGUGAGAAGAACAGGGGUGCUGUGGUCGCCACCAUUAGUAGGCUCUCGUACCACGACGACCGUAGGACAUUCGCUUAUGUCGAGACUCAGGAACCGUUGAGUGUCUACAUGUCG
rnacentral:rRNA from 1 species